rnacentral:rRNA from 1 species
UGGGGAAUAUUGGACAAUGGGCGAAAGCCUGACGCAGCAACGCCGCGUGCGGGAUGAAGGCCUUCGGGCUGUAAACCGCUUUCAGCAGGAACGAAAAUGACGGUACCUGCAGAAGAAGCCCCGGCUAACUUCGUGCCAGCAGCCGCGGUAAUACGAAGGGGGCUAGCGUUGUUCGGAAUUACUGGGCGUAAAGCGCACGUAGGCGGAUUGGAAAGUCAGAGGUGAAAUCCCAGGGCUCAACCGUGGAAC